CGACCUCAGAUCAGACGUGGCGACCCGCUGAAUUUAAGCAUAUUAGUCAGCGGAGGAAAAGAAACUAACGAGGAUUCCCUCAGUAACGGCGAGUGAAGAGGGAAGAGCCCAGCGCCGAAUCCCCGCCCCGCGGUGGGGCGCGGGAGAUGUGGCGUACAGAAGCCCCCCUCCCCGGCGGCGCUCUCGGGGGACCCAAGUCCUUGUGAUCGAGGCCGCAGCCCGCGGACGGUGUGAGGCCGGUAGCGGCCCCCCGGCGCGCCGGGCCCGGGGCUUCUCGGAGUCGGGUUGCUUGGGAAUGCAGCCCAAAGCGGGUGG
rnacentral:ncRNA from 1 species